ACUCCUACGGGAGGCAGCAGUGAGGAAUAUUGGUCAAUGGAGGGAACUCUGAACCAGCCAUCCCGCGUGUAGGAAGACGGCCUUAUGGGUUGUAAACUACUUUUAUACAGGAAGAAACGUACCCUCGUGAGGGUGCCUGACGGUACUGUAGGAAUAAGCACCGGCUAACUCCGUGCCAGCAGCCGCGGUAAUACGGAGGGUGCGAGCGUUAUCCGGAUUUAUUGGGUUUAAAGGGUCCGUAGGCGGAUUAAUAAGUCAGUGGUGAAAUCCCAUCGCUUAACGAUGGAACUGCCAUUGAUACUGUUAGUCUUGAAUGAGGGUGCAGUGGUUGGAAUGUGUAGUGUAGCGGUGAAAUGCAUAGAUAUUACACAGAACACCGAUUGCGAAGGCAGAUCACUAACCCUAAAUUGACGCUGAGGGACGAAAGCGUGGGGAGCGAACAGGAUUAGAUACCCUGGUAGGCGUAG
rnacentral:rRNA from 1 species